rnacentral:rRNA from 1 species
GUAGGUGGCAAGCGUUGUCCGGAAUUAUUGGGCGUAAAGCGCGCGCAGGCGGUUCUUUAAGUCUGAUGUGAAAGCCCACGGCUCAACCGUGGAGGGUCAUUGGAAACUGGAGAACUUGAGUACAGAAGAGGAAAGCGGAAUUCCACGUGUAGCGGUGAAAUGCGUAGAGAUGUGGAGGAGCACCAGUGGCGAAGGCGGCUUUCUGGUCUGUAACUGACGCUGAGGCGCGAAAGCGUGGGGGAGCAAACAGGAUUAGAUACCCUGGUAGUCCACGCCGUAAACGAUGAGUGCUAAGUGUUAGGGGGUUUCCGCCCCUUAGUGCUGCAGCUAACGCAUUAAGCACUCCGCCCUGGGAGUACGGCCGCAAGGCUG